AUGGAUGUUGUCACUGCUUACCUAUAUGGUAACUUGGAUUCGAACAUAUACAUGAAGGUUCCAGAAGGUAUCCCUGUUCCGAACCAUGAUAGAGCAAAUAGGGGUCUAUACAGUGUUCAACUUCAAAAGGCACUGUACGGACUCAGACAGUCCGGUAGAAUGUGGUACAAUCGCUUAAGUGAUUUCCUUCAUGAGAAGGGCUACACGAGCAAUAAAGAUUGCCCAUGUGUUUUUAUACGGCGAUCCCAAGAUGGAUUCUGUAUAAUCUCGGUGUACGUGGACGAUUUAAACAUAAUCGGUACACCUGAGGAUAUUGAGGAAGCGAGUUCCUACCUGAUGUCGGAAUUCGAGAUGAAGGAUUUG
rnacentral:rRNA from 1 species